UGCUGUGAUGGUGUAAUUUGCGUCUUACUUUGUGUACAGUGACAGUUGCCUGCUGUCAUGAUGCUGGCACAAAAGGCUGAAGAACAUUCAUUUCUGAGCA